UACGGAGGGUGCAAGCGUUAUCCGGAUUCACUGGGUUUAAAGGGUGCGUAGGCGGUCCGAUAAGUCAGAGGUGAAAGCUCAUCGCUUAACGAUGAAACUGCCGUUGAUACUAUAGAUCUUGAAUGCUGUGGAGGUGAGCGGAAUAUGUCAUGUAGCGGUGAAAUGCUUAGAUAUGACAUAGAACACCAAUUGCGAAGGCAGCUCACUACCCAGAUAUUGACACUGAGGCACGAAAGCGUGGGGGAUCAAACAGG
rnacentral:rRNA from 1 species